UUCACAGAUGGCAUUUGUCUAUAUUGUCGUUUUAGUUUUAUCUUCCGUCAAUCUCCUUGACUUUGUUUUCUCCCACAGACAGUUUUUAAGAACCUGGAUUCAGCCCAAGAGCCCAGAUAAGAGCUAAAGGAGAGAUUGGAGGUGAUCUCUUUCUCACUCCUCUACAAUUACAAAAUCUGAGAGUCAAGAAGGUUUGGAAGGAGACUGCUGCAAAUAACUCUUCCGUGAGAAGUUGGGGGGUUUGCAUCAUGGAAUUUAUAUAGACAAUUUCUGCAAAUAUCCCUUCAAUGUCAAGCCAACAAAGUAAAAUGUCAAGGGCCUACAUCUUAAGAGGGGGCUAGUUUUUAGGAUAAUUUUUCUAACAGUCUUUUGAGAUUUAUUCCUGUUUUCAUUUUGAGCAAAAUGAUUUCAAAACAUGACAUUAAAAAGUACCAGAUGGCAAC
rnacentral:lncRNA from 13 species